CGGCAGGGGCGGAGGAUAGCGGCGACUACAUAGUGGCAACACCCAUAAUCGCCGAGAAAUCGAAAGAUAGCGGCAGAAGUGAGUGGCGGUCUGGCAGAUGCCGCCAUGCACCACUGGAUAGCGGCUGGCCAGUGACAACCGCCGCUCAUUUGGGAGCGACUUCUUCAAACCCCCUCUUUUGGGUGUGACUUCUUGGCGCGAAGAGAAGCAAGAGCAGAGGCGCGAAAACACGCCCACCCCUCGUUCAGCAACGUAUCCUGGCGACUAUUUCAAGAAACGCCGCUAGAAACCCGCGAGUUGAAGUUUGGAGCGCGCCAAACACAUAGGAGGAAAGCCCUGAUUCAUUAGCGGAAGAACCCACCCAGAAGCCCAGCAAGCUGCCAUCCGUGCUUCUCAUCAAUCGUGGGUGAAACAGUUCCACCGUUCUCAGCCGUCCGCCAAGUUGAGCUAUC